AGAGAACAUUCCAUCAGAUGCCAUCCAGAGGCCGCCAUUGAGGUGGAUCGUGCAAGAGGGUUCCCAAGACGCUGUUGUCUCACUGGGUGACAGAUUGAGACCAGAUUUAAGCUCUGAAUUUUCUACUCUCUGUGAUGGAGUCGAAACAGCUUUGGUGCAGCCUGAUCAGGGUCCGGUCUCCUUUGAGGAGGUGGUGGUUUGCUUCACUGAGGAGGAAUGGGCACUGCUGGAUCCGGGCCAACGGGCUCUGCACAGGGAAAUCAUGGUGGAGAAUUAUGGGAC